GAUGAACGCUAGCGGCAGGCUUAAUACAUGCAAGUCGAGGGGCAGCGGGAGUAGCAAUACUUGCCGGCGACCGGCGCACGGGUGCGUAACACGUAUGUAAUCUGCCCAUCACAGGAGGAUAGCCCGGAGAAAUUCGGAUUAAUACUCCAUAAUAGAAGAUAAAGCAUUUUAUUUCUGAAAGUUCCGACGGUGAUGGAUGAACAUGCGACUGAUUAGUUUGUUGGUGAGGUAACGGCUCACCAAGACUACGAUCAGUAGGGGUACUGAGAGGUUAAACCCCCCANACUGGUACUGAGACAC
rnacentral:rRNA from 1 species